GACAGAGAGACAGAGAAAGAGAGAGUGAGUGAAAGAGAGAGAGAGAGAGAGAGAGAGAGAGAGAGAGAGAGAGAGAGAGAGAAAGAAGGUAAAUGUUAUCGAGAUCAGACGUUGUCUUGGAACGUUCGAGUUUUUGUCGAGCGUGAGAUGGUCCUCGUGAAGCGUCGUCACAAAGGUGAAAUCAGUCGGGUCAGGGACAUCGAGUUGGAAAGAGGAAAUCGUCGUCGUCGAGGCUGUCACUGCAAUAGGAGAGUCUCGAAAACGUCGUUGGCGUCGUUGAAGGAGAGACCGAGAGAAGGAGAAUAAAUAAAAGAGCCUCGUGACGGAGGGACUUCGUACGGCCCUGGCGCGGCUGCGGCACUGCGCCCCCACAGGGGGCUCUCUGCCAAAUACCCCGAAUCUACCCUCUACCCCCGAACAUAAGGCUCACAUCGUAAAACACGUCGAACGACAAUAAUCAUUCGUAACGGGAGGAGCGGCUAGUCUCGAAGAUGGCGAAUUUAUCGGGACGCCUCAUUAAAAAAAAGGGAAGGAAUGGAAGGAAGAAAUCGUGUUUCUUGCUAAUAGCGGUACCCAAUCACGUGCAUAGCUCUAUCCAGCUCGCGAGACAUUUAAUCGAAAAGGGAUGUUUGGAGAAUCGUGGCUCCCCUGGGAGGAGCGGCGGAG